rnacentral:tRNA from 1 species
GCAAGGGUGGCCGAGCGGUUAAUGGCAGCAGACUGUAAAUCUGCCGAGGUGACUCUACGGCGGUUCGAAUCCGUCCCCUUGCA